UCCCGUUCCCUCAGCCGCCGCACUCCACCUAUCUUCCCCUGUCGGCUCCCGAUCUAGCGCUUCCAUCUCCGCUCACCCUAUGCGUCGGGCCCCACCGGACGACACCAACUGCUGCGGCUAGACAACAGUCGGCGCCGUCCAUGACGCGCCCUUCCUCGGUUGCAGUCGACCAGCGCAUGGACGGCGAACCCAUGACGCUCUGGCCAUCUCAACCAGAUCGCCGCUGACAUCUUCUGCCGGCAGCGAGCCAUGGUGAGGUACAGGGGGCCGGCGUCGUCACGGAUGCAGAGUACAGGGCGCGACCGCCACGGAUCCAGCCUCUGCUUCGCCGAUGCAGCCCCCUUCUCUGUUGUAUCUCCUGACCACUGAUCCAUCUUUGGCCAACAGCGAACCAUGGUGAUGUACAGGGCGGCGCUGCCGUCACGGAUGCUGUGUUGUGUACAGGACGCCACCGGCACGGAUCCAGCCUCUGCUUUGCCGAUGCAGCCCCCUUAUCUGUUGCAUAUCCCGUCUAGGUUACUUGCGAAACUGUUUAGUUUGUGGCUACAACUUGUGAAGGUCCUUAUUUGGGUCUCGUCCAAAAAGAUGGAGCUAGAAAUUUUUCAUGUGAGCCUAAUUUUCAGAUUCAUGUUUUCAGUUUGUUCUGCCUCGAAAUGUCCAGUUUGUGUUCCAUGAUGGUAACUUGAAAUAUGAUAUCUUUGGUCCUGUAGGUAUUUUCCAUGUAAAAAUAUAUACUCUGAUGUCUAUUUGCCUUGGUUUUGUGCUAUUCAUAUCGGUGUUUAUAUAGGUUGACUGUACAUUCUGAAUAUUUUCUUCGGAUAUUUUUUAUUUGCUAGAAUAUGAUCGUUAAGGAGCAUGCCUAUGGAUUAUACCUUUCGUCUAUUUGAGCGUCUCCUUCAGGCUAGGUGUACUUAGAAAAUGGAGAAAUGUACUCCUUACAGAUCGACAUGCUAUUGUUAUGUUGUUGCAUCACAAAUCUGGAUGACCACAUAUCUCUUAUGAGAUUUGGAUAUUGAAUGAACCACCACCGCCGUCCACUAUGGAAGGAUGGGGUUUGCUGGACCUCCAAUGAGCAUUACGGUGUUUUUUUAGUGUUUUUUUAGAGAAUGAGCAUUACAGUGUUGGAGCGGAGAAGAGUCGUAUUUUUUUUCUAGGAACUGUUUUGCUUAUGUUCCUGGCUGUAAUUAUUUUUUUUGUAAUUGGUAUUUGAUUAAGAUUUUUUAACGGAAGUCUUUUGUUAGAUAUGU